rnacentral:rRNA from 1 species
UCGGCGGACGGGUGAGUAACACGUGGGUAACCUACCUAUAAGACUGGGACAACUUCGGGAAACCGGAGCUAAUACCGGAUAAGAUAUCGAACCGCAUGGUUCGAUAGUGAAAGAUGGUUUUGCUAUCACUUAUAGAUGGACCCGCGCCGUAUUAGCUAGUUGGUGAGGUAACGGCUCACCAAGGCAACGAUACGUAGCCGACCUGAGAGGGUGAUCGGCCACACUGGAACUGAGACACGGUCCAGACUCCUACGGGAGGCAGCAGAC